CGGGGCUAGAUUGGGUUCAAAUAUUAGACCCAUCACCCAAUCUGUACAUUAUAUAGGUCCAUUUUGGAGCUUCUUGUGACUAGGUUAGCCCAACCUAACCUAAACUUGAUCGAAAGAAACUAUUCCAAGUCAUUUCUUCUUUACCUCUAUUAAGAGAUAAAUACUCAAAUCAAUUACUACAUUAAGAAAUGCCAGCUCUUGAGGUUAUUAACCUCUUGA
rnacentral:lncRNA from 1 species